rnacentral:lncRNA from 1 species
CAAUUUAUCCCAGAGCACUUUUGGAGAAAUCAAGGAAAUAUGCAUGUACUGAAACACUUCCCCCAAUUAUUUGCUCAGAUUUCUUUGAUACUGUGCAGGAUUCAUCUGUUAGCUAGCCCCACUAGGCUCCCUUAGUUUGGGACUUCUAUGAUCAAAGGUUCUCUAAACAGGCUAGGGUGAGCUGUAGGAUUAGGAUUAAGGAUAGAUCUAGUGUUAGGUUCACAGUAGUUUUGUUCAAAUUUCUUUGAUACUAGGCAUGAUUUAUCUUUUACCUAGGCUUACAAUGUUCC